rnacentral:rRNA from 1 species
UACGGAGGGUGCAAGCGUUAUCCGGAUUUACUGGGCUUAAAGGGUGCGUAGGUGGGCUGGGAAGUCAGUGGUGAAAUACUUUCGCUUAACGAAGGAACUGCCAUUGAUACUAUCAAUCUUGAAUGUAGUGGAGGUAGGCGGAAUGCGUCAUGUAGCGGUGAAAUGCUUAGAUAUGACGCAGAACACCAAUUGCGAAGGCAGCUUGCUACACUACUAUUGACACUGAGGCACGAAAGCGUGGGGAUCAAACAGG